AGGGUUGUUCAUGGGUCGGUUUUACCCGGCAACCGACCCAUUAUCGGCCCGACUAUUGUGGCCGAUAAUUGCCCACCAACCGACUCAUUUUGGUCGGGCCGAUAAUUUUAACCGACCCAUGUUUAGUUGGGUCGGGUAUAGUUUUUAAUUUAUGGAAAAGUCGGUUGGCCGAUAUUACCCGACCAACCGACUUUUCAUUUUUAUAUAUAAUAUAUUUUUUGUAACCUUUUGAGUUUUGACUUUGACUUCACUAAAUUAUUGGGAAAUAUUAAAAUACUAAUUUUAAAUUAUUCAUCUCCUCUCUAACUCUGCAUCCAGAAGUAGAAACCAAAACUCCACCACAUAAACACCAGUACACCACCGCCGACAUUUCUCUUGCAAGCCACAACCAGUCAUCGCCGCCUGCGCCGGUGGGUUGCUACUUCCUCCAACUCUCCACCUCUGGCCCUCUCUAUUUAUCUUUUACAUUCUACAUUCUAAAGGGCAAAAACUCAAGGCUAGGGUUUUUUUUUCGUUUUUUUCUCAAAUUAAAAUUGGGCAAUUCCUCAUUUGAAUGAUUUAAUUUGAUUUUUUUUAAACACGAAUGAUUAUUGCUUAGAUUUUAUGUUUCUCCAUACUAAUUGUGUGAAACGAAAAUGAAAUUGAUAUUCAUUAACUUGUGUGUGUUCUUGUGUGUGUAAGAGAGAAAGACACAAUUGUAAAAAAAAAAAUAAUCUCAAUGUACAGACUUUCCAUUUUUUUAACUCUGUGAUAAAACCGUUCGGCUUUUGAGAUCCUACACCGGGUGAAAUACACCGGGUAGAUCUUUACCAUUAAUAUACACACAAACACACACACACCCACAUUGGUGUGUGUAGAUCAACGGUAAAAAAUCACCCGGUGUAACCUUCACCGGGUGUAGGAUAGAUAAAACCGUUCUGUGAUGUGUGUGUAAUUAAUUUCUAAAUUUCUAAUAAUUAGAAUAUUUUAAAUUGUACAAUACCGAAGUUCACCGGCACAUCGGCCUCUAAAUCUAGCAGCAAAUCUGUUUUUUUUUUUUUUUUUUUACUGUGGCCGAUAUCGGCUGAUAAUUUGCAACCGAACUAUUUCGGCAACCGACAAAGUCGAUUGCCAACCGUUACCCGACUCACAAUUGUCGGGUCGGUAAUGGUUUUACAUUUUGGCAAUAGUCGGUUGGUCGGGUCGGGCCGAUAAUCGGCCGAUAUUCAACCGACCCGACCCAUGAACAACCC
rnacentral:lncRNA from 1 species